rnacentral:tRNA from 1 species
AAGGCCUUAACUUAAUUAAAGUGUUUGGUUUGCAUUCAAAUUAUGUGGGAUAGAGUCCUGCAGGUCUUA